ACGGGUGGUAAUGCCGGAUGCUCCGACUCCUCGCAUGGGGUGUCGGGAAAGAUUUCAUCGGUAUGGGAUGGGGUCGCGUCCUAUCAGGUAGUCGGCGGGGUAACGGCCCACCGAGCCUACGACGGGUAGCCGGCCUGAGAGGGCGACCGGCCACAUUGGGACUGAGAUACGGCCCAGACUCCUACGGGAGGCAGCAGUGGGGAAUAUUGCACAAUGGGCGCAAGCCUGAUGCAGCGACGCCGCGUGCGGGAUGACGGCCUUCGGGUUGUAAACCGCUUUUGAUCGGGAGCAAGCCUUCGGGUGAGUGUACCUUUCGAAUAAGCACCGGCUAACUACGUGCCAGCAGCCGCGGUAAUACGUAGGGUGCAAGCGUUAUCCGGAAUUAUUGGGCGUAAAGGGCUCGUAGGCGGUUCGUCGCGUCCGGUGUGAAAGUCCAUCGCUUAACGGUGGAUCUGCGCCGGGUACGGGCGGGCUGGAGUGCGGUAGGG
rnacentral:rRNA from 1 species